CCUUGUUUUUUCUCUUUGUCUUUCUCUCUCCUGAAGGUCUGGCUGGCUUCCUGGGGUGCCUUCCUCUUUUCCUGUGUACUGGAUGACUUCUGCACUUUCUACUAAGCUGCAGGAUAUGUGGUAGAAGAGACAUCAGAUGCCAAUGUGGAAGACCUAGUGUUUGUCUGGGUGAAGGAGUUAAACACAUUUCAGAUGGAGCCUGGAUGUAAAGCACUACAGUGGAACUGAGGAUACCACAGCGAGCUUCCCUGGGGAUGGUGCCUGGAUUCUCAGUCUGAGGAGGAGAGGAAUGGACAGGACUGAAGCAGGAUGAACAGCUGCUGGUCUGCCCGCUGCCAAGGCUUGGCAGAAUGCUCCUGGGGAAGCAGUAGGCACCUGGUUCACACAGGACCAGCACAGCUGGUCCAGCUUUUGAUUGGCAGAGUGUGGCUUCCUUCAUCACCACAGUGACUGGCCCUGUGAUCUUGCUGCAGCCUGCUGAAAUGGAGAGAAACCCAGUGAAAGCUGUACACCUCAUGGGAGCAGGUGCAAGUCACAUUUCACUAAUGAACAAUGGGCACUUUGCACACAGAAGGCUUUGAUCCGAGCACUAAAAAGCCCCUCUGUUGAACAGGCUGUUGGCCAAGGCAGUCAGCAGUAAGAAGCAUUGGGAAGAAUCCUUUAUCCAGGAGAGUCAAUGCAACAACAGUUGUCAGAUUUCACUGUUACAGAGUCAAACACUCAAUUUCAGUGAUCUUGUUGAGAAAAAGCAAUGCAUUAGUAGCAGAAUAUUCAUGAAACCUUAGAUUCUCAUAAGUCACAGAUGAGGUCCACACCUCCAUCUCUAUCCCCACUGCUCAUCAACUAAAUCAGUAUUAUGUGCUUGCUUAUCCCAUGGUUCAAUACUUCCCAUAAAUAUAGGUACGCAAUUAUUUUACUUCAUAAACCAAUUGAUUCUAGACUUGGACUAUUCCCUCAAGGAGUAAAAUAUUUCCUCUAAACUUUAAACUCUCUUCUAUGCAUUGGUUUCAGUUCUGCCUUAUGGGUUUAGGUAGGAUAAUUCUACCAAAGAAGUGGGCAUCCAUGUGAGAAACUUCCAGAUAUUUGGAGACCAUUCUCGAGUCUUCUAGAAAAUAGUUAUGGAGUAUAUUUUAAUAAAUAUAAAAUACAUGAAUUAAUGUAAAAUGAAUAAAUUUAUAAAUAUAUAAUAAAUAAGAUAUAGCUCUA